CCCUACGGGGCGCACCAGGCGCGAAACCUCUGCAAUAGGCGAAAGCUUGACAGGGUUACUCUGAGUGAUUUCCGUUAAGGAGAUCUUUUGGCACCUCUAAAAAUGGUGCAGAAUAAGGGGUGGGCAAGUCUGGUGUCAGCCGCCGCGGUAA
rnacentral:rRNA from 1 species